CAAUAGCGUAUAUUAAAGUUGUUGCAGUUAAAAAGCUCGUAGUUGGAUUUCUGACAGGAACGGGCGGUCUACUCCGAAAGGAGUGCGUACUAGCUUGUUUCCGGUCAUCCUUGCGGAGAACGGCUCUGGCAUUAGGUUGUCGGGGUCGGGAUCCGCAUCGUUUACUGUGAAAAAAUUAGAGUGUUUAAAGCAGGCAGUUGCUUGAAUACAUUAGCAUGGAAUAAUAAGAUAGGACUUUGGUGCUAUUUUGUUGGUUUGCACACCAAGGUAAUGAUUAAUAGGGAUAGUUGGGGGUAUUCAUAUUUAAUUGUCAGAGGUGAAAUUCUUAGAUUUAUUAAAGAUGAACUUAUGCGAAAGCAUUUACCAAGGAUGUUUNCAUUAA
rnacentral:rRNA from 1 species